rnacentral:rRNA from 1 species
GCAUAGAUAUUACACAGAACACCGAUGCUGAAAGCAGCGUACCAAACCAGCACUGACGCUGAAGCACGAAAGCGUGGGUAGCGAACAGGAUUAGAUACCCUGGUAGUCCACGCAGUAAACGAUGCUCACUCGCUGUUGGCAAUAGAUCGUCAGCGGCUAAGGGAAACCGAUAAGUGAGCCACCUGGGGAGUACGAUCGCAAGAUUGAAACUCAAAGGAAUUGACGGGGGCCCGCACAAGCGGUGGAACAUGUGGUUUAAUUCGAUGAUACGCGAGGAACCUUACCUGGGCUUAAAUGUACGAUGCAUAAGUGUGAAAGCACUUUUUCCUUCGGGACUUUGUACAAGGUGCUGCAUGGUUGUCGUCAGCUCGUGCCGUGAGGUGUCGGGUUAAGUCCCAUAACGAGCGCAACCCCUAUUGUUAGUUACCAGCGCGUAAAGGCGGGGACUCUAGCGAAACUGCCGGUGUAAACCGCGAGGAAGGUGGGGAUGACGUCAAAUCAGCACGGCCCUUAUGUCCAGGGCUACACACGUGUUACAAUGGCCGGUACAGCGGGCAGCGAGGCAGCGAUGCCGAGCGAAUCUCGAAAGCCGGUCACAGUUCGGAUUGGAGUCUGCAACCCGACUCCAUGAAGUGGGAUCGCUAGUAUCGCGCAUAGCCAUGCGCGUGAUACGUUCCCGGCCAUGUACACCCGCCCGUCA